rnacentral:lncRNA from 1 species
CUUAAGCGUUUUCGGGUGGCCGAAAAAUCUCGGAACCAAGACUCCAAAUUCCUAUCCUAGGUAGAACACCCCAUUUGGAGUCACUUUUGUUCUUGGACAAACCCCAAAAAGUGACCAGAAACAGUAGUUCUAGGCGGCCGAAGUUUCGGCCAGAUUUCAAGUCGAAAAUUGAUCGCUUUAGGACUAAAAUCGAUCGAAACCCGUACAUCCAUCAGCUAGAACGUGAAAAAUAGCUGAGAAACCAUACCUUACUCGACCGAUUUGGUGGAAAAUUGAAGGAGAAAAUCGAGCUGGAAGUUCGGGUGGUUUCGGACGAAUCUCCGUCGGAAAACAUGGUUUUCCGAUCAACUCCGAGCGGCCCAAGGGUGGAGGUCGGUCAGGUUUUGACGGCGAGAGGGAGGCAGACCCGAUGGUACCCACGGCGGAGAUCAGCUCGGCCUGUGGUGGCCGGGCCGUCGCCGAGAAGGCGAAGGGUCGCACGGCCAAGUCGCGCGGAAGGAGAGAGAGAGAGAGAGAACUGACGAGGGAGAGGAGAGAGAGAUAAAAAUCUGACUUUUUGACCAAAUUACCGUUUUGCCCUUCGCGGUUUUUAGACCAUAUCUUCUUUGUUACAGCUCCGAUCCGGGUCUACUCCGUGUCCACGAACUCGUUUCGCCGCGCUCUACGCAAUGGCUUAAGCGGAAUGCCCAAAUUCUUUCUCGACUAAAAAGUCAAUUUUCCCCCUAUUAAAUAAUGCGAGGGCAAAAUAGUCUUUUCGCUAGAAGAUAUUUUCCUUACUUUUUAGAUAUUUUCUUUCUUUUUAGAUAUUUUGUUUUGGUUUGUUUUGGGUUCUUACAAUCUACCCCCCUUAUAAAAAUUUCGUCCUCGAAAUUUACAUCCCUGUCAUUCGAAGAGGGGGAAACAUUGCUCCUGUAAGUGCAACUCAGGUUACUACAUUGCAUAAAUCACUGAAAGCUCAUUACGUUCCCUUCCAAACUCUAAAUUUCUUGCUUUCUGCACCUUCUGUAAUCUUAUUGGGUCUGGAAUAGCUAAAAUUUGGCUCCCUUGCUUCCUUGAUUCUCAUUUCACCUUCCUCAGGCGAUAACUAUCGAGAAUACUUAUCUGAAGAUCCUUCUUCUAGUAUCUGCAUAACUUCUUGCCAAUCCUGGAUUACUUAGAGUCUUUUUCUGCUUAAUUCAAUCAGGUUCUUUAUUCCUUACAAUACUUCCAGAUUUCAAUGAACCUUACUUGACAUUCUAUCUUCAUACUUGGGUGAUCCAUACUAUAUCUCGAGUAAGGCAUCUAUUGGAAACAUCUAAUCCAAGGGAAUCCAACAACUGUCACUUAAGGCAUACUCUCAAACCAACAUCUUUUUUUUUUACUCAAAUCGUUCUGAAACUGUAGUACAUUAUGUCCCAAUAACCUUUCCACAAUUUGAGUCAUUUUCUUAAACUGGUCGUCUGUCUAGAGCGAAUUGCGGUAUUAAACUGAAAUCAAGGCCCAAAAGCUUCUUUUACCUGAGUCUAACUGAAACCUAACCUGGAUUUCUAAUUCCAAACUAUAGAGACUGGUAUUCCACUAGCAGGGCCCAGAACGGUACCUACCACAUCUGGCACAUUAGAGCAACUUCUCCUGUUAGAGCCUAUCAACACCUGUCUCUCCAUGUUUUUGGCUACACCGGCCCCAGAACGAUUUGCAAUAUCAUCAUCCUGGCUGGUACCACUACUGAAACUAACUCCAGUUCGAUGGCCUCCAAGCCUGCGGCCGUUCAAUGAUUGGAAACUGUGAUUACCACUGUAGUAUCUCUCUUAAACUUUUCCUGAUUAAAGUUACCUAUCUCCAAAUACUGUGCACAAAGUGCACCCCAUGGUCUGCCCCUUAUCUGGCUGGGGCAGACAUCAUCACGGCCUCAAAAUUGACUAACUAUUAACUGAUCACUAUACCUUGAAUGGAGGCUUUUAACCUGAUCGUAACUAGGUACUACCUCUUACUUUCCAAUCUCUAUUAAUAGAAACCGUACGCGAAACCUUUUUCUCGUAUUCGGGUUCAACCAUUAUCCUCUAUUCUGCUGUAAAAACUCCGGCAUUCACACCUUCUGUAGACUUAUAGAUAUGACUGACUAUCAUAUUCUGCUCCCAAAAUGCUUACUUAGUACGAGUCAAAGGAUUUUAACAUCACUUCUUAACCAAAUCCUGCCCAAAACUUUAUUCUUCUGUGGAACAACCAGGAUCUCUAUGACCUGCUAUAUUUCUUCAACUCAAUCCUCUUUUACUACUAGAUACCACUAUUAUCCCAAUUUAUAGCUCUUGCUCCUGUUUACUUGAUCCACCUAUCUCGCGGAUGGAUCUCUGGCUGACUAAAGCUUGAGCUAACAUCUCCAGGGUCUACUGAGUGUUAGGAUCUCCCUGCCUACUAGGUACAAUAGGUACGUCUCCUGAUCAACCUCUUACAAGAGAUUACUCUGCCGGUUCAGAUACCGGUGCAGUUCCUGUCAUACUUGGAAAUUUCAUCCCCUUACGUCGGGAUAACUAUUUGAUUUUCCUACGGAUACCACCACCAUUUGGGCCCCACUUGAGAAGAGAACGAGGAUGCACAGAGUGCGAAGUCUACAGGAAGUAAAACCUACGCUCUGAUACCAAAUUGACAGGACCCGACCCAAUUUCCGCUUUGGAAUCCGAGUCGAAUCCUGUGCGUGUCCGACAUCUGGCUAAUGUCGGGCACAAAAGACCUUUUUACCCUUCUCGUUUCAAAUUCUUUCCAAAUUUCCCUUAGACUUCUGCCGAAAAUUCGGCAGAGUCUCCCCUGUAUUUUGACAAAUCCCAAAUUCUUCCGCCUGUUAAACAGUCAAUAAAUUCACACCAACUGCCAGAAUAUCUCAAGUAACCAUUCUCAACUCUAGUUUCUCAAUUUUAACUAGAUAUCAGAGCAUUUUCUAAGGCUUUCGAGGUUUCAAGGAUUUUCUUCAAAACUCUACCUUUCUUGAUGGCGCGGAAGCUAUGUAUGGCCCGGUGGUGGAUCCCGCGUACUUCUACGGCCUGGGGGCGUAAAACAGAUUGAAAAUGUGAGUGGACAAAAAUAAUGCUCUUGAAAACAAUUUUUAUAAGCAUAAUAACCCCAUAACAAUAACUUGAUAAGUAAGGCUAAGGUUCACCUGUGUUUAAUAUAAGGUUUCAUCUGAAAAUAAAUAUAAUCGUAAGCCUAUAGCUUCGUAACACUGAACAAUUAUAUAAAGAUACAAAAGGCGCAAAUAUCAAAGAAACUGGUUUGAAAUAGUUGAAAAUCAUAACUGAAUAAAAGAGUUGAAAAUCCUUUGAAAAUACCACCUACUUGUACCCCUGUCAUAACCGUCAAUUCCCCUGGCAGGUCUCGGGCGCCACGCAGUCCACCCGAGCCGCAAACUGGCGAAAUCAGGGGACUAUGAUCAGCCUGAUCUUGCCGGCAGAUUCCUCGAUGACACCAAGUCAGCUUGAGUCGCUCUGGCAGGAUGCAGGGGACCGUAGUCAGCCUGAUCCGCAAUCCUGGCAGGUCUCGGGGACACAGAGUCAGCCGAGCCGCAAUCCUGGCAGGUCUCGGGACACCAAGUCUGCCGAGCCGCAAAUCCUGGCACUCACGGUCCGAGCGUCCCCGUAACUCGUGAGGCAAAGUCAAGUGCACUGACAUAAACUGAAAUCGGACUGGAUGUCCGUAGACAUCGGUCCAACUCUGGGUAAUCACCGUAAAUAAAUGGGUACGAGGUGGUUUUAAAAUAAAUUCCUUUAGAAAAAUCUGAUUAAUAAUUGAAAUCUCAAAUUGUGCUGCUAUUUCAUCUGCCAUAAGCCUCAAAAUCUGUUUUCUAUAACUCUUAAGCAUGUAAAAGUAAGCAGCACACAACUCAUAGAACUAUUUCUGUAUUAAUCAUGCUCGGAAACACAAUAAAGCUUACUCAAGAUCAAAUAAGGAAUUUAGUCAAAUAAACCCGUUUAUAAAAACUCUUUUAUAUAAAAUCAAUAUAAAAUCACUUAUAAAAUCUUAUUUAUGGAAAACCUCUAUAUAACUCAUUUAUAUAAAAUAAUUCAUGAAUGAAAGUCCACUCACAGAUGGUCCGAGCUACUUUGACCCUUCGAAGGUCUCUUUUGCAAUCCUGUCGGGCUCCUGGUGCCUGAUUACCCAUAAAGAUUAAAUUAAUAAACUGCUCAAUAAAAAGAAUUUCAACUAAACACCCUGCCCCCGGCUCCUAGAAAUACGUGCACUCGUUUUAGGUUACUUCUAUGCCCACCUUAGCUUUUUGGGACAGUUAGACCGGCCUUAAGAGACCCGAAACCUAAAUAAGCGGUAAGCUGCCAGAUCGGCCGAUUCGGGACCCCGUGGGUCCACGGCCUCCGAUGGCCAAUCUGGGCUCCUCUGAAGGUUCCUUACAGAGAAGGAACCAUGUUCUGUGAUUUUGGUCCGAAACGGACGGUCGGAUUAGCCAAAAUCGCGUUAUCGCUUAAAAUCCAAACCCUAGCCCCAGGGUUCGCGAUUUCGGAGUAUCCGGGACUCCGAUUCGCAAUCCGUUGAAUCCUACACGAUCCUGAGAUCAUGUAGACCGACAUAUCCGGAAUCCAGCGCGAUCCAAUUAUUUGACGACACUGCACCCACGGAUCGCGCGAUAUGGAAAAUUCGUUCGGGGCUCAAACGGACUCCGAAUCUAGAUCCGCAAAAUCCUACGCGCUCGUGACGACACGAGGGUCACAAAACUGCACAGAAUUACUCCACCACCCUCGCCCACGCGUCCCAGCACGCGCGGUCAGAUUUGGGUGUCUUAAGCGUUUUCGGGUGGCCGAAAAAUCUCGGAACCAAGACUCCAAAUUCCUAUCCUAGGUAGAACACCCCAUUUGGAGUCACUUUUGUUCUUGGACAAACCCCAAAAAGUGACCAGAAACAGUAGUUCUAGGCGGCCGAAGUUUCGGCCAGAUUUCAAGUCGAAAAUUGAUCGCUUUAGGACUAAAAUCGAUCGAAACCCGUACAUCCAUCAGCUAGAACGUGAAAAAUAGCUGAGAAACCAUACCUUACUCGACCGAUUUGGUGGAAAAUUGAAGGAGAAAAUCGAGCUGGAAGUUCGGGUGGUUUCGGACGAAUCUCCGUCGGAAAACAUGGUUUUCCGAUCAACUCCGAGCGGCCCAAGGGUGGAGGUCGGUCAGGUUUUGACGACGAGAGGGAGGCAGACCCGAUGGUACCCACGGCGGAGAUCAGCUCGGCCUGUGGUGGCCGGGCCGUCGCCGAGAAGGCGAAGGGUCGCACGGCCAAGUCGCGCGGAAGGAGAGAGAGAGAGAA